UACGAGGGGUGCAAGCGUUAUUCGGAAUUAUUGGGCGUAAAGGGCGCGUAGGCGGUUUGUUAAGUUUGUUGUUAAAUCCUCUGGCUUAACUAGAGAUAAGCGAUAAAAACUGGCAAUCUAGAGCGUGAGAGAGAGAAGUGGAAUUCCCGGAGUAGCGGUAAAAUGCGUAGAUCUCGGGAGGAACACCAAUGGCGAAGGCUGCUUCUUGGCUCAUUGCUGACGCUGAGGCGCGAAAGCGUGGGGAGCAAACAGG
rnacentral:rRNA from 1 species